CUAUAACUCUUUGAUGCCUCCAAAGUGCUGUGUACAACCCUGAAAUCGUCAGUUAUAUAACAAGAAUGUCACUAACCAUGUUUUCCAAUCAGAUCUUCACCGUUUUUCACAUAGUCCUCCAUCUCUUCCUAUUCAAGAUGAAUGAAACUGAUAAAGGCAACGCUCUCCUGCCAACCUCACCAUAUUUGGAUGCAGCAUCUCAUCCUUCCAUCUCACCUGUCCAGCCAGAAAUGGCAAGUGACACAGUUCAGCGAGAAAAGACAUUUCUCUUCCUCCUGCUGAAAAGAUGCUUGGGCUGUGAGACCAUUCCUGUGGCCAUGAAGGAAACCUCCAAAGAAUCAGAGAACUUGCUGCUAGCAUUGCUGGGUGUCUGAAUCAGUGCCAACAACAACCAACUACGUGUUUUGCAUCUUCUAUGAAAAACAACCCCCUUUACAAUAAAGACAUUGAAUUCAGGCUUUCUAACACAUAACAGCCAAAAGCAUACCUGGCUGAUACAUUUAUAGACUACAUUGCUCUUGAGACUGCCUGAGAGACACCUGUCUGCAGCGCUCAUGUAUACCCAUUACCACUGGUUCCUGUUUUCUUUUCCCAGGGUAUAACGAGUUCCUUGGUGUGCUCAUGUUUCUAUUUUCAGUCUUCCACAUCUCCUUGCAUAAGUCAAAACUUGGGAAUAUCCAGGGAGCCUUUCCUUCCAGCUCUUCCCCAUUCCUUCUUUACGCUCCCAAGUGCUAAUCUCACUUCCAGCUAUUCAUGCUGCAGGCUUUUCAUUUCUUCCCUUCCAAGCAGCCACAUUCUGGG
rnacentral:lncRNA from 1 species